rnacentral:tRNA from 4 species
GGAGAGGUACCGAAGCGGUCAUAACGGGGGCGCCUCGAAAGCGUCUUGCCUGCCAAAAGCGGGCACGUGGGUUCGAAUCCCACCCUCUCCGCCA